AGGAUCUGGAUUAUUUGCUCUCCUUUCUCAAAAAUUUCUCUUGCUGUGUUGCCCCACACAGUAAUCUCAUCAAUGUACUGUAAGUGCUCAGGAUCACCACCCUGUUCCAGUGCAGCUUGGAUUAACCCAUGGCAAAUGGUUGGGCUAUGUUUCCACCCCUGGGGCAAAUGAUUCCAGUUAUACUGAACACCCCUCCAGGUGAAAGCAAACUGCAGCCUACAUUCUGUGCCCAAAGUGCCCUGGGGUAUGUAAUUCUUCUCUUCUGGACAGGUGGCCAGAACUGGAGCAUUAACUCUUUAACUCCCAGUGCACUACAUGAUGUUAUGAUGUGGAAUACUGAUAAACAAAAAUCAUAAAACCAUGACACUCCCCUAGAUCUGCCACCAAUUGGGUGGCCUGUUGUAUUAUGGCCUAUGAGGCCACUAGGGUAUUCAGUAUGGAUACCAAAGUACCAUACUAAUGUGGUGGAGCUUGCUGCAGGACGAAAUCCCUCAUUCCUGCUGAAAAUUUCAUCAACUCCAGGCUCUCAAAAUCCUCCUUAUAGACUGCCUCCUUCACGCCUAAUUCUCGAAUGCAGUUUUGCAAGUCCUGCAUAGAGGACCAUAGGCUGGUAUUCAACAGCAUGUCACUCUUAUUUGUCCAUGUUAUAUGCCAUGCGGCCAUUAACCAUUUAAUCAAUAAAUGAUUUUCUUCAUUAUGUUAGACAGCUACAUAUGGUCUUAGCCUGAGGGCAGGUUGAGUGAUAACGGAUGCCAGUUUUGAAAUUUCUGGUCCAUUCACCACAGUGCUUUCUGUCCCCAUGUCAUAUAAUCAGAGCAGCCACACUGGCACGCUCUCUCUUGGUUUUUGUCUAAACCACUGUACAAGAUCCAUUAAUUCAGCUGUCAUGUAUGGGCAAGCUGUUACACGUACAUGCUCUGGGCAGGGGGCCACUGGUCAGGGGGCACCUCCGCUAGCCUAUCCUCCAUUUUUUACAUUUUUUGAGUUACAACUGGUCAGAUCUCAAAGGGAUCUAGCUCUAGUGGAGCCUCACAAUCUGACUUUUUAGUGCUUUCAUUUACAGAGUCCAGUUUAUAUGGAUUCUCUUGUACAGGGUCCCCGGUAAUUUCUAGAGAGGUAUUCUGCAACUUCUGUAGGGGAAUGAUGGGAUUAGUUUUUUUCCCUGUCAAAAUUGCAACCUGUCUUUCCAGUUCUUCAACAUGGCCAUGCAAUAGUUGGUUUUCAUCAGUGAGAGCCUCCUCAGUUAUGUUUAGCCGCUUCAAGGACAUCAGCAGUGGCCACACCACCAUGGAGGCAGCUAACUGCCAUUCUUGAGAACAUUUCGCCAUCUCUCAAGGGUUGGUAAGUAAUAGUGCACUUUCUGCUGGCCGCUUACUAAGAGGAAGGGUGUGUGUGUGUGCGCACACAUGUGUGUGACAAAUAAAACUCUUAACCCUGUGUACUGCUUUGAAUGCCUGAGAGUGCAGUUGCUUGCUUCUGUUCCUGAGAUAUCCUACCUCUCAGAUUCAAAUGUACCCUGAAACAGUUCCCCAUGCUACAAAAUUAGCGGCUUUUUUUUUCCUACUAUAUAUUCCGUAUGUUGCUCUUGUUGAUGUAGAUGCCUUAGAAGGCUACGUACUUUAUUUGUAAUUGGUGCAUUCUGUGUACUGCUCAAAGAACACUUAUAGCAAGAUAUAUGUGAUGGGGAUAUAUUACAGUCUCUUAUAAAGGCCCUAAUAGUCUUAACUAAAAAUCUCUCUUGGGUGUCCCACAAGUAUGUUGCAAAGUGAUUUAAGGUUUUCAGUUUCUGGAUUAAUGAAAAUAGAACUAGACUAGAGUAGACUAGACUAGAAUAACAGUAACAUAGCAUGGGAUAGCAUAGCAUAACACAGAAACAGGCCAAAGCAGCUGUCUUGUUCCCUUGCAGCAGUUAUUUAUUUAUUGAUUUUUGGGUCCAAACUUAAGCAUCUGUUCAAUAUAAACCCUCACAUAUCAAACUGCAGCAAUAUUGUAAUGUUACAUCAGAAAAAGUGAGCUCUGUCCUUCCUUUUUUUUCUACAGAUACACUAAUGCAUAGCAUACUUAUGUCUGUUUCUCAGCUGCACUCUAAAAUUGUUUUAGCAUAUCUCUUAGAAAGGAAAUAAGGCAGCUUUGAAAAAGGACUUUUAGGAAGCCCAUUCUAGCAAAAACUUGUUAGACAUGAUAGAAAUACCACAUUCGGUGCUCUUGAAUGGUGAACUGUGUCCUGCAAUGAAAAAGUGAAGUUGCAAUGAAAACACUUUUUAACUGGCAAACUUAGACUCUGGAAUCGUUAUUAGUGUCACAAGGAACCUCUGUUCCAUAAACCUAAGUAGUCAUUGCAAUUGCAUAAUAAACAGCUACUUUAUAUGUAAACAGCAGAUGCUUUUUUAGAUUUAUUUAUAUUUAUUAAUCUUUGAGCUGCUGAAGAUUUCCCAUAAGAUUUGCCUAAAAAAAAAAAAAAAAAAGUGAUCUUUCCUGCAUACCAGUUUCUAUUGUCUUGAGAUCAGGAGCUCAGGUGGGUCCAGGGUUUGAACAUAUAGGGGUAAAUAAGCUAGCUUUGAAAACUAGGGAAGGAGAACAACUUCUCAACAUUUCAUGGUCAGCUGUGCAAACACAAAGAAAGGAACAGGAACAAGAUAAAUGACUGUGACCGGUUUCAAUGCAACAUAAAGAGGUCAGACCAAGGAAGAUGUCGAGCCUUCACGAGGAGGACUUCUGACUUCAUCCCCACGACCACCAGAGGGAGACCCCUACUACGGACAACGCAUGCGCCAGGGGAGGGGUCAUAUGUAAAUGAGUUUCUGGAAGAACAAUGGAUACGUGAAUGGGUUCCAAGAAUUUCUGCUGAAUAUGUACGGUUUUGGCUUAUAGAUUUGUAGUGCUUCUUCUGGCUUGCGUGCAGAUUUGGUGGAGCAAUCCCCCUGCACCCGAUUGAUUGUGCAAUCAUCGAAUAAAUGCGUUAUAGAGUU